GUCUUUUUGUUUAUAAUUUAAAGUCUAACCUGCCCACUGAAUUUUUAAAGGCCGCGGUAUUUUGACCGUGCGAAGGUAGCAUAAUAAUUAGUUUUUUAAUUGAAAGCUGGAAUGAAUGGUUGAACGAGGGAAUAGCUGUCUCUAUAUUAUUUUAUUAGAAUUUUAUUUUUAAGUUAAAAAGCUUAAAUAAUUUUAAAAGACGAGAAGACCCUAUAGAUUUUUAUAAAUUUCUUUUUUAAGGGGGGUUAGUAAUGGUUUACUUUAAUUGAGAAAUUUUAUUUUGUUGGGGUGAUGAAAAAAUUUGAGAAACUUUUUUUAUAUAUAAACAUUGAUUUAUGAUUUAGUGAUCCAUAUUUUAUGAUUAUAAGAUUAAAUUACCUUAGGGAUAACAGCGUAAUUUUUUCUGAGAGUUCUUAUCGAAGAAGAAGAUUGCGACCUCGAUGUUGGAUUAAAAUUUAUACUUGGUGUAGAAGCUGAGCUAUUAGGUCUGUUCGACCUUUAAAAUUUU
rnacentral:rRNA from 1 species